rnacentral:rRNA from 1 species
UACGUAGGGGGCAAGCGUUGUCCGGAAUCAUUGGGCGUAAAGCGCGUGUAGGCGGCUUGGUAAGUCCGCUCUGAAAGCCCGGGGCUCAACCCCGGGAGGCGGGUGGAUACUGCUGAGCUCGAGUCCGGAAGAGGCGAGUGGAAUUCCUGGUGUAGCGGUGAAAUGCGCAGAUAUCAGGAGGAACACCAAUGGCGAAGGCAGCUCGCUGGAACGGUACUGACGCUGAGGCGCGAAAGCGUGGGGAGCGAACAGG